rnacentral:rRNA from 1 species
AUUGAACGCUGGCGGCAGGCCUAACACAUGCAAGUCGAGCGGAGCGGCGGACGGGUGAGUAAUUCCUAGGAAUCUGCCUGGUAGCGGGGGAUAACGUCCGGAAACGGGCGCUAAUACCGCAUACCUUCAGAUGAGCGUAGGUCGGAUUAGCUAGUUGGUGGUGUAAUGGCCUACCAAGGCGAGGAUCCGUCACUGGUCUGAGAGGAUGACCAGUCCAACUGAAACUGAGACACGGUCCAGACUCCGACGGGAGGCAGCAGUGGGGAAUAUUGGACAAUGGGCGAAGGCCGGACCCAGCCAUGCCGCGUGUGUGAAGAAGGUCGUCGUAUUGUAAAGCACUUUAAGUUGGGAGGCGUUACCAACAGAAUAAGCACCGGCUAACUUCGUGCCAGCAGCCGAGGUAAUAC